AUACUUACCUGGGCGGGGUCAAUAUAUGAUCAUUCAGGUCGAUGGCCUAGGAAGGCCACCUCCAUUGCACUUGGGAGGGGGGUCUACCUAGCAUCUCCUACUAAGGAGAGUGCACGUCAUACUUUGUGGCAGCAGAGGCUCGCGUUCGCGCGGCCUCCAC
rnacentral:snRNA from 1 species